AGCAGCCGCGGUAAUUCCAGCUCCAAUAGCGUAUAUUAAAGUUGUUGCAGUUAAAAAGCUCGUAGUUGAAUUUCGGGGUUAGUAGAUUGGUCGUGCCAUUGGUACGUACUGGUCUUACUGAUUCCUCCUUUCUGAUGAACCGUAAUGCCAUUAAUUUGGUGUUGCGGGGAAACUGGACUGUUACUUUGAAAAAAUUAGAGUGUUUAAAGCAGGCUCGCGCUUGAAUACAUUAGCAUGGAAU
rnacentral:rRNA from 1 species